rnacentral:piRNA from 1 species
UGGGAUACUGCUCUCCAAAAUGGAUGGAUGG